CAGCAGCUAAGAACCUUCCGCAAUGGGGGAAACCCUGACGGAGCGACGCCGCGUGGAUGAAGAAGGCCGGAAGGUUGUAAAAUCCUUUUGUCAGUGAAGAAUAAAGCGGGGAGGGAAUGCCCCGAAGAUGACGUUAGCUGAUGAAUAAGCCCCGGCUAAUUACGUG
rnacentral:rRNA from 1 species